rnacentral:rRNA from 1 species
ACUCCUACGGGAGGCAGCAGUGGGGAAUAUUGCACAAUGGGGGAAACCCUGAUGCAGCCAUGCCGCGUGUGUGAAGAAGGCCUUCGGGUUGUAAAGCACUUUCAGUAGGAGGAAGGUAGUGUAGUUAACACCUGCAUUAUUUGUACGUUACCUACAGAAGAAGCACCGGCUAACUCCGUGCCAGCAGCCGCGGUAAGUACGGAGGGUGCGAGCGUUAAUCGGAAUUACGUGGGCGUAAAGCGCAUGCAGGCGGCCUGUUAAGUCAGAUGUGAAAGCCCGGGGCUUAACCUCGGUAAUUGCAUUUGAAACUGGCAGGCUAGAGUCGUUGUAGAGGGGUUAGGAAUUUCGAGGUUGUAGCGGUGAAAUGCGUAGAGAUCUGAAGGAAUACCGAGUGGCGAAGGCGGCCCCCGUGGA